CACUCUCACCUUUGCUUUUUGCAAUAUUUAUUGAACCUCUCGCAUCAGCUGUUCGUCAGAACUCUGUUAUUAGAGGAAUCCACUCAUCCAUUUCAGAACACAAAAUUAAUCUUUAUGCGGAUGACAUUUUACUCUAUUUAGAAGAACCCCAAUCUUCAUUAGAAGAAUUAUUUAAACUAAUAAACAGCUUCUCUAAACUAUCAGACUAUUCCAUUAACUGGUCAAAAUCAUCAAUCCUUCCUUUAACGAAAAAUUCAUGGAACCCAGCAACCCAAAACCCACAAUACCCCUCCCCCACAAAUAUAAUUAAAUAUCUAGGCUUAAAUAUAUCACCAAACCUAAAUGAAUUAAUUAAACUGAAUCUAGACCCUCUGUUGGAUAAAGUCACAGAAGACCUGCGGAGAUGGAACAAUCUCCCCAUCUCACUCCUUGGCAGAAUAGCCUCAGUUAAAAUGAAAAUCUUACCUAAAAUAAACUAUCUGUUCUCUAUGAUCCCACUGAAACCACCAACGCAAUGGUUCAAAAGAUUAGAUUCUGCAAUUACAAAAUUCUAUGCUAAGAAUAAAAAACCCAAAAUAAGCCUUUCAACUCUUCAAAAAAAUAAAAGCGAGGGAGGGUUGGAAGCCCCUAAUUUCACGCAUUAUUACCUAGCAAACCAAAUUCUAUAUUUAACAGAAUGGUUAAAACCAAAAGAAUACCACAACACCUGGCUAGAAAUAGAACAGCUAGACUGCAAACAUAUUAAACUCUCUGAUCUCCCUUUUAUCACUGUGACCCUGAAACGUCAUAACUGCUUUAAAAACCCACUGAUUGCCUCCACCCUGACUGCGUGGUGGAAAGCCCUGGACAUAACAAAUGUUCAAUUAAAAACUAACAUGCUGUCUCCAAUCUGGCACAACCCUGACUUUAGAAACAGAAAAACACCACUCUAUCUAAAAACAUGGGAAGAUAGCGGAAUUAUUCAUCUCCAAGACCUCUUCGAAAAUGAUAAGCUCAGGACAUAUAACAAUCUAACCCAAGCAUUCAAUAUAAAUAAAAGUAACUUUCUACAGUACUUACAAGUAACAGAGACAAUAAAGAAAACUACUCCACUAGACUUAACUACUUUACAACCUCCAGAACUGGCUAUAUAUAUGAAAAAAAUCUCAACAAAAUCAAAAAAACUCUCAAAAAUAUACAGAGCGCUCUCGAACACUAACUGUAAUUACUUACCAAUCGCGAAGUGGGAGGCUGAACUCUCAAUCACCCCGAGCACUGAUUUCUGGACAGAAAUUUGUUGUAAUACUUUUAAGAUGACAAAAAACACAAACCUUCAGCUAAUUCAAUACAAGGUCCUCCACAGAUCCCACAUUACCCAAC
rnacentral:lncRNA from 1 species